CAGUCGCCGCGGUAAUACGAAGGGGGCUAGCGUUGUUCGGAUUUACUGGGCGUAAAGCGCACGUAGGCGGACUUUUAAGUCAGGGGUGAAAUCCCGGGGCUCAACCCCGGAACUGCCUUUGAUACUGGAAGUCUUGAGUAUGGUAGAGGUGAGUGGAAUUCCGAGUGUAGAGGUGAAAUUCGUAGAUAUUCGGAGGAACACCAGUGGCGAAGGCGGCUCACUGGACCAUUACUGACGCUGAGGUGCGAAAGCGUGGGGAGCAAACAGGAUUAGAUACCCCUGUAGUCCCUGUCUCUUAUAU
rnacentral:rRNA from 1 species